UGGGCAACUUGCCCCAGACUCUGGGAUAACUCCGGGAAACCGGGGCUAACACCGGAUACUCCGAUCGGACGACAUCGUCUGACCGGGAAAGCUCCGACGGUCUGGGAUGGGCCCGCGGCCUAUCAGCUUGUUGGCGAGGUAACGGCUCACCAAGGCGACGACGGGUAGCUGGUCUGAGAGGACGACCAGCCACACUGGAACUGAGAUACGGUCCAGACUCCUACGGGAG
rnacentral:rRNA from 1 species